UACGUAGGGGGCAAGCGUUGUCCGGAAUCAUUGGGCGUAAAGAGCGUGUAGGCGGCCCGGUAAGUCCGCUGUGAAAGUCCAGGCUCAACCCUGGGAUGCCGGUGGAUACUGUCGGGCUCGAGUCCGGAAGAGGAGUGUGGAAUUCCUGGUGUAGCGGUGAAAUGCGCAGAUAUCAGGAGGAACACCAAUGGCGAAGGCAGCACUCUGGGACGUGACUGACGCUGAGAUGCGAAGCGUGGAGCAACGGAUAGAACCGA
rnacentral:rRNA from 1 species